GAUGAACGCUGGCGGCGUGCCUAAUACAUGCAAGUCGAGCGAACAGACGAGGAGCUUGCUCCUUCGACGUUAGCGGCGGACGGGUGAGUGACACGUAGGUAACCUACCUAUAAGACUGGGAUAACUUCGGGAAACCGGAGCUAAUACCGGAUAAUAUUUCGAACCGCAUGGUUCGAUAGUGAAAGAUGGCUUUGCUAUCACUUAUAGAUGGACCUGCGCCGUAUUAGCUAGUUGGUAAGGUAACGGCUUACCAAGGCAACGAUACGUAGCCGACCUGAGAGGGUGAUCGGCCACACUGGAACUGAGACACGGUCCAGACUCCUACGGGAGGCAGCAGUAGGGAAUCUUCCGCAAUGGGCGAAAGCCUGACGGAGCAACGCCGCGUGAGUGAUGAAGGUCUUCGGAUCGUAAAACUCUGUUAUUAGGGAAGAACAAACGUGUAAGUAACUGUGCACGUCUUGACGGUACCUAAUCAGAAAGCCACGGCUAACUACGUG
rnacentral:rRNA from 1 species